rnacentral:lncRNA from 1 species
GUUGUUCCAUUCCGUAUCUGUUGACCUGGUUGGUCGGUUCUCGUACUUCGUAUCAGGGACCUUGUUGAUCAGUUGCACUCUGUGGACCUUGGGUCCAGGCAACACAUCGACUCUCUUGUCAUGUGUUUCGAUCUGGUUGAUCGUGGUUUGGCGUUGUACGCCCUUGUUUCUGGCUUCGGCCUAGACACCGGCUUUAGCCGGAUUUCGUUUGAGCAUAUCAACAUGAUUUAGUCACAGCACUGUGUAUUCUAGACACCAGGUUGGUUUGGCCACCAACAAGAGGUGUACGUAUCCGGAUAGGUCGUCGGUGACGCAUGAAUAAGCUCUUAGUGUCUGCUCUGUGACAGGCAACGCUUGAGGUCUGCGGACCAAUAUAGCAGCAUCAGAUUGGGUAUAUUUGGACUUAUCGUCUGGUCGACGCAUAUAACUAUAGUAGCAGUUGUCGCUUGUAUAUCUUCAGUUCUUUCGUUAGAUUGUCUUACUACUAUAGUCUUGUUACAUGUAUACAUUCAGUUGUUCAUUACAGUAGCGGUAGUUGUACUUUCUUUCAUAUACAUGUCUCUUUCAUUCAUUAUUAUUGCUACUUUAUUUUCUACUGACCCGUGCUGUUGUUUAGCUCUUUCUGAUCCGGUGAGUACUCCUCGUCUUCAUCGGCUUGCGGUACCCACUGGGAGGGGAGACAUGUUUACAUGUUCUCACCUCCCCACUAUUUUUUAGGUAUCGCGGGCGGUGAGGGUUGAGACGAGACGUGUGAUACGUACGUAGCGGUCGAUAGAGCUUCCACCAGGUUAUUCGGUUUAGUUUCUACCUUCACUGUCCUGUUGAUAUAGCUUAGAUAGUUUAUAUGUUCAGUUUUUGUAUUUCAGUUAACUAUCAUAUUUUGAUUUGGCUUUAUGAAAUACUCGACACGGCGGUCAAACCUCGACGUCGAUACAUGACUAACCUGAAAAUCAAACAGGGUGCAGAAAAUACAAAACAACAAUCAUCUCGACCCAAUCAAGCAAACAGUCUGAAGGUGCCCUGUUUCUUUCUCCUCAAAUUAUACCGUCUGCAGGCCAAACAUAAUUUUGUUGGCCAAACAUACACUACUUCAGUCCUCACUCCACCUCUAAGAAGGCGUUAAAAUAAUUCAAUCGUGGACGGUUUUCGCGGAUAAAUACGCCUCUCGCCGGCAGCGUCUUGCUUCCUAAUGUUUGUCAAGCUUAAAAUUUUUUAGGUCGCCCCCUUUAUCUCAACACUAAUAUACUCUGAUACCCUACUUAAUCGGUCAACGCCCGAAUUCAGCGUUUCCCCCCCUACGGCCGUGAGAGCACAACAAACCAUCCUAUAUAUAGGAAUGAUUUGCUGUUAUACGAAAGCGAUAGUUGUACCUAUAAUAAAAUAGAGCUACACACCAUUCAAGUGGUAAAUGUAGCUGCAAUGUCACGCCCCGGCCGAUUUUAAAAGCCUUUUUAGAAUUCAUUACAUUGGAGAAACAGGUUGGCGGAAACGUACCCUUUUUUUUAUUUUUUUCCAACUUGGCCAAAGUCGGAGAUGAAGAGAAGACUGUACAGACCACUGCCACAAAUAAAAGUCAUCUGUCCACUCGGACAGAGCUCCUUUAUAUUUGCACUGCAGUACACCCAAUAGCUACAUGAGGGAUCCAACUAACAAUCUAACAAUUCGACUCAACGANNNNNNNNNNNNNNNNNNNNNNNNNACUUCUGUGGCGACGGCGAUCCGCGGUAUUCUUACCUUCUUUGAUAAGUACGUUGGCUUUUUUGUUACAGACAACGUAUUAUCAAAAUAGGACAAGAUACCCUACCUUUGGGAAUUAUUUGGCAUUAGUGUCGAUAUUCUUUUCUGCUUUGCGAUGAGAGGGUGACGGCUUAUCUUGAUUCACUAGUAUGCCUCACCCCGAGCCGAUCUCUUUUGGGGCCGGUUAGAGAGCGUCAACAGACGGCGAAGCGGACAGAGCUUCCCUGUCCGCCGCAAGGCCUCAAACUAGUUUCAAUUAGAGUACAAAUGUUGAAUAAGCGGAAGCAUACAACAAAUGGCUUGCACAGGAUAAGCAAUACCAAGGUGAAAAGAAUUAGCAAUUAAAUAUACAAGUAAUAUGACUAAUUUACAAUUCACAUACAUGCAUCAUUUCUCUCUUUUUUGCAUUCCAUUAUCUCGAUCUCCAAAUUAUAACGUUUUGACAGUUAUAAAGUAAAUAUUCUUAAGCAUUUUUGCAUUAAGCAAGCUUCAUAACUACCUAAAAUACAUCGAAUACAAAAGAUGAUAGUAAAGGGUGCUGCAAUCUACAAAAUGAAAUCCAUCUCGGCGUCUCACUAGGCGUGAUGCCCUUACCGAUCAUCUGCGGCUCGCGCUGGUCCGGCUCGUUGUGGAAAUAUGACGGGGGAGAACUAGCAACAAAGUUCCCAGUGACGUUCGGCAAACCAACGCGCCGACUAUCCACUAGGGUCUAAUAAGGCAUAAUAGAAGAAAGAAUAGAUAAUAACAACUAACAAAUGCAGUAAUAUGCUCUGAACAAUAAAUAAAACUAUGCUCGAUAGAAUGCUCAUGAUGAAUGCAAGAUUCACUUUUCAUUACGAAUCUCAUGGCUAGCCCGUAGGUUUCGCCCUCACAAACUCACCAACCCAAAUCCCUAUUGUCGGGGAGAUAACCGCUACAACCCGACGGACCGCGCCUGCUGGGGAGAUACACGCUACGACGCCAGUGAUGAAAACUCCGGAGCACAUCGCCCGAGGGGAGCUACCGCCCUCGAGCAAGGACUAUUAGGUGAGUACGAUCAAUCCUUAACUGUUAAGGAUUUUAAGUUCAAUCCAUUCCUUGACUUCCAAGGAGAACCAUGUACAUAUGACCCUUAAUUCUAAGGUGUUUAUGUCAUAAUGUCACUACUUGUUCUUGUUCUUUGUCAAUUAUGCCACACGUUGUUUCUAAGUCUUUUAGACUCAUCAAUGUCACUUGCUAAAUCUAUGUCAACAUGUCACAUUUGUUACUAACCCUCUAGGUUCUUGUCCUUGUCAUGCCAUAUUAUAGGAGUUACCAAUUCUCAUUCAUUUACUACUAUUUCUCAAGCAUUAGAACUCAUGAUCAUGCAAGGAAAAUUUACAAUUAACCCUACUAUGCAACAUGCCAUAUAAAUGCAUAUGCUCAAAUAUGACGCUUUAGACAUAAAGGAUUUUCGAUGUCCUUGGAAUGCACCACCCACCUAGAUGCUCACAAGGAUGCUACGGUGAAUUUCUUGGAAUUUUUGAAGCCCUAGUCCGCGUGCUGCGGCUAUCUGUACGGAAAAUGACGUUUUAUUAAUAACUUUGCGCGUACACUCGUCGGAUUGUCGAACCGAGCAUUCAACGCGUUUAAAAUACCCUCAAUUGGUUCUACAUGAUCAAAAUAGAUCAAAACCCAACUUGGGCAAAACCCCUCUUUGGGAUGCUCCUAACAUGUUAUUUUUGCAUUUCUCCGAGAUUGAUCUCAUUUCUAAGCAAAGAUAGCUUAGAUUCACAUGGGAAGCUCUCUAAUAAGGUUUGUAAGCUUUUAGAACCAUCCCUAGGCAUUACUUUGAGCCCUAGUGAUCCACAUGAAGGGGUCCAAGAAAUCCAUGUUUUUACAUGGAGUCAUGUCCUUAGAGGAUUUCCUCACUUGUAAGAAGAUCAAAACCCAAAAAUCUAAGGUCUAAACCCAAACCUAAACUCCAUUUUUGCAUAAGGACUCACCUUUGCCAAGCUCCACCAAAGCUUACUUGUUGGAGAGCUUCUGGACCACCAAAGCGACACCAAAAUCCACUUCUCCAAGCUCUUCUGCCACCUUCUCCAAGCUCUAGGGCUUGCUUUCUAGAGAGAGAAAGAGAGGAAAAUGAGAGAGAGGUGAAACUGGUGUUGGCUUGAGGGGAAGGGUAUUGGGCUAUUAACAUGUGUAACAUUUGCCAAAAAACCUCCACUUUAUAUUUUGCCAGGGAGACCUCGUUUUGAUGUCGGGCCCAAGUGUACGGUACACUUUUUCGUGUCACCGUUACAUGACUACGCAGAGGCAAACCGAGAGCCAGAUUCUCGGUUUCGCCCAAAGUGUACGGUACACUUUUUCGGUCAUCGGUUUCAGCAUGGUGUAACCGGUGACAUGUCGCUUGCUGUACCGGUCACACAUUGCUCCAGACCUGAUUUUUGGCUCCGUCUCGAUUCUAUUUUCGCUGAUCGAUGCCAAAAUCCUUCUAACACUUCUAGAACUCAUUUUAACCCUCCCAACAGUGUUGGUAGGUUAAUUGGAACUUGCCCAAUUAAUCGCAUUCGCGCACUUUAGUCAGUUGCUUAAAGUUCGUCAUUUUCUAUCUAGGUUUCAAUACGUUACAUAGUAAGCCUGGUGGUGUGGCUCAGAUGUCGCAGCUUCCGUUGUUGUAUAAGUAUAUGUUUUGGUAUCGUGGAUACCUUGGAUUGGAUUGGGUCGUUGUUCGGUCACUUGGUGAAGUUAUGUUGGAGUCUACGAUGAGACGGGCAUUUAGUGUUGCUAGAACAUCGAUCUCAGGGUCCCUUGGGGACGGCAGCGAUAGGGGUCUCGUAGAGCAGGUGUUGGCAUCACUGGUGUUUUGAUCGCUUGUUCGCGUGGUAACUCUAUUUACCUAGUGUAGACUAAUUGGUUCUACCUCGUUUGAGUGUCUGACACAGCUUCAAGCUAAAUUGUUGGCUCAACUGGUACUGGCAGCCUUAGACCUUUUUGGUCUAGACAAAUGGUUAGGUCUUGGACCUAAGAGUGUCGGGUGCCAUCGAUGGGUUCCGAUGGUUAAGUUUUGGCUUUGUCAGGUUGUAGUUCGGUUCUUUAGGGGGGUUGUAGCCUCCGAGGUGAGUGUUGGUUCUCUAGCAUUGGAUCACCCCUAUCUGUUAGCAAGUUUCGGAGACGAAACUUUCUUUAAGGGGGGGAUGAUGUAAGGACUGAGAUUUUUACAGUGUAGCUAAACUCUCAGUUGACGAUAUUUUUGUGUGUAAUUUAAUUACAAAAGCACUCGUCAAGUUUCAGGUGAAAAUGAGUUAAAACAGAAAUUCUACGCGAUUUCCAAGUUUCACUUAAAGUGAAUAGUAACUCGAUUUUCCGAAGAAGUCACGGUGGGAAGUUGGCUUCUGGCUCGUAGUAGACUCCCUUCCUAGCGGUCCAGUAGCUCGUUUCAAUCGGUUCAGCUAUUCUGGAACUAAUGGCGCUGUCAGAUUUUAAGUUUGACCCACGGAUUUCAAGAAAAUCAAAAAAUACAUGUUUUAUAUGUAUUUAUGUGUUAUUUCUUCUGUUGGAAAGAAAGAUUGGAUUGUGUCGUGAAUCCGUGGUCGAUCGAGGUGAAACGAAAUCGCAGCUUUGUUGUCUCCAUCGUGCUGAUUGCACUGGUGCAAUCCGUUCGCAAAUCUGACGAACGAGUCUGCGGAGAUUGCGCGUUGAUCGAGGAGAGGUCGGUAAUGGCAAAACGGUAUUUUCGCAAAAGUCACAAUAUUUUAUGUACCGUUUCGUGUGAGAUCGCACGUGGAGGGGUAUCCGUGCGUUUUACUCGUGCUGUGAGGGACUCAGAAUGAAAUGUUGAGUUUUGAGGGGCUUUUCUGCAAAUAGGAGCUUUGUAUUUAAGCUUUUCACCUUGGAACCCUAACCCUAGCCCUAGCCGCAUCACCCUAGCCGACCUAGCCGCCUCUCCUCCCUUCCCUGAGUGCACAGCUUGCGCCCCAGCCGCCGACGCACACUGCCGGUCGCCGGAGAAGGAGGUUGCUUCUCCCUGUAGCUCUCUCCUCCAUCCCUCUCCCUCUAUCUCUCUUUCUCUCGGGUUGGAGCCCAGGCGAGCCUACAUGGCCUCAUCGGCGUCGCCCUGUGCCUCGGCAACCUGCCCGCGCGACCGCCGCCGUUCCGUGCGCCGCCGCUGCGCUGCUGCCGCUGCUGCCGCCCGGGCCACAAGCUGCCAGCCUGGGCCGGGCCCAGGCCGAGAUCUGUUCGCGACCCCCUCCCGUGCCCGCGUCCUGUAACCUCUCCCGCCGACGUCACGAGGCCCGCAUCCCUCCUGCCGGCCGCCGCCGCCUUUCUGGGCCGCCGCCGCCGCCUCUGCGGGCCGCCGCGCCGCCUCUGCGGGCCGCCGCCGCCGCCGCAGCCAGCCGCAGCCGCCUCCAGACCCGUUCGCCGAGGCGAACUCGCGACGGCCCUCCUGCGUCGCCGCCGCGUGGUACCACACCCGAGGCAUCCCUCCGCCUCAGGCAACCUCCGCCGCGUCCUGAGCUCACGCGGCCGCCGCCGUGCCGCCAUUGCCCACGGAACCCGAGCUGAGCCUGCGCGGGCUUGCCUUCUCCGCCGUUGCCGCCGCCGCUCUCCGCGUCCCUGAGGUGAGCGCCAUUGCUCCUUCCCUCCCCCGCACCCAAUCCUGGCCACUGUGCGCGGCCGCCGUGCCGCCGGAAGCCGGCCGGCAAGCAAUCUUAGCUCCGGCCAAGCCCGAAAUAGGGCUAUUUGUGGGAUAUUUACUGUUCCGAGCUUCCCGAGCCUCCCCCGAUCUCUAGGAAGGGAGCACGAUGAUCCUGGCAAGUGCUGAUCAAAUCGUGCUCACCUUGGUUUCUGUCGAGAAGGCCCCAUUCCGCUGUUUUUGCGUGUCAACCCUGUGGAGGCCAUUUUGGCUGGUUUUCUAUGUUUGUGCGUGCUUUUCCGGCGAUCCGAGGCUGUUCCGAUUGCCUCCGGAGCGGUGAGCACAGUUAUCGCUGGUCAUGCUGAUCACAAUGCUCACUUACCUUGGAUCAGCAGUGUCCGGUUAGUCCUGUUCGGGCGGUUUCUCCGUGGCUGCGCCGCUUUUUCGCUGAAACCUUGGGUUGCUCCCGCGCUUCCACAGUGAGCCCGUUGUGCUCUGGAUCGUGAGCACGGCUCUGGUACGUCGAGACAAAGCUAUACGUGUCUCGGCAGACCUUGAAAGUCCUCGGGUUUGCGUGAACUUGCAACUUGAUCGCUCAAAUCACAUAAAAUGAUAGGAUUUUAUGUAAUUUGAGGGACUUUUAUGCAAUUGUGCACCUUGUGGCUACUGUGGGCAACGCGUUGGAGUGUGUGGUAACCUCUGGACUGAUUGUCCAUGAUUCGAUAGCCUUUGCGGAAAUCGAAGAGCCGGUUACGGUGCGUUUUUCGGCGAAAUUCGUCGAAAGAACGCGGUUUCGGUUCGGAUUUCUUCCGACGUGGUUUGGUUGUCUUGUGUGUGGUCGCUGAGCCUUGUUGGCUAGUCACCAUCAUCAUUUUGUAGGUUCGGUGAUGAUCGGUGAGCGACGGUGGGUUCCGGUGUCGAAAUAGACACUUCCGGGAACCCGGAUUCGUACAAUUAUCCGGUGAUAAUUGUGUAGUGUUGUUAUCUUGUGUUUGCUACCAAAACACCCAAAUCGGAGUGUUCUGGUAUAGUAGGUGACUCGUGGCACGAGUCGGUGAGUUUUGGGACACUUAGUGGGUCCCGACGGCGUCCCGGUGUGAUUUUCGGGACUUCCAGCGAGUUACGGUAAUCGGUAUUGGGAAACCGAUCUUCGUGAAAUUGUUUGUGGGGUUGUGGAUACUGUGGUUAUUAGUUGUGGGUUAGAUACUAACCCGGUGGACCCUUUAUAGGUCCUGUCGACAUUCUUUUGCAGUCAGGAAACAGACGCGACAUCUUUACAGGUGGGUACUUCAAUCCGACGUCGGUAUAGUGGUGCACACUUGGUGAUGGUUUCUUACCCUUACUCUUCUGUUGUUACUAUCGCAUAGUAUAUUGAGCCUUGCACCCUUGUUUAUUCGUUAUACACUACUCGUUGUUUACAUGCUUAGUAUUCCGAGUAGGAGUAGAGCAGUUCUAUCUAUAUACGUAUCUGUUGACCUAGUUGGUUUGUUGUUGCAUUCCGUAUCUGUUGACCUAGUUGGUCUGUUGUUGCAUUCAGUAUCUGUUGACUUAGUUGGUCAGUUGUUGCAUUCCGUAUCUGUUGAUCUAGUUUGUUGGUUGUUGCAUUCCGUAUCUGUUAACCUGGUUGGUCGGUUCUCGUACUUCGUAUCAGGGACCUUGUUGGUCAGUUGCACUCUGUGGACCUUGGGUCCAGGCAACACAUCGACUCUCUUGUCAUGUAUUUCGAUCUGGUUGAUCGUGGUUUGGCGUUGUACGCCCUUGUUUCUGGCUUCGGCCUAGGCACCGGCUUUAGCCGAAUUUCGUUUGAGCAUAUCAGCAUGAUUUAGUCACAGCACUGUGUAUUCUAGACACCAGGUUGGUUUGGCCACCAACAAGAGGUGUACGUAUCCGGAUAGGUCGUCGGUGACGCAUGAAUAAGCUCUCAGUGUCUGCUCUGUGACAGGCAACGCUUGAGGUCUACGGACCAAUAUAGCAGCAUCAGAUUGGGUAUAUUUGGACUUAUCGUCUGGUCGACGCAUAUAACUAUAGUAGCAGUUGUCGCUUGUAUAUCUUCAGUUCUUUCGUUAGAUUGUCUUGCUACUAUAGUCUUGUUACAUGUAUACAUUCAGUUGUUCAUUACAGUAGUGGUAGUUGUACUUUCUUUCAUAUACAUGUCUCUUUCAUUCAUUAUUAUUGCUACUGUAUUUUCUAUUGACCCGUGCUGUUGUUUAG